AUCGCUUCUCGGCCUUUUGGCUAAGAUCAAGUGUAUCUGUGUACCUUUCAGCAAGUUACUAAAAAUUUUUGGCCCUUUAAAAGGACUUUUUAAAAAUUAUUUUUUUAGAGAUCACUGGUUACACUGAGAGUGCCAGCCCUUAGUAAGUACCUCCAAAUU
rnacentral:snRNA from 1 species